rnacentral:rRNA from 1 species
AUGGGUGCACGGGGCAUCGAAGGAGAGCAUCCAAGCUCCUCGAUCCAAGAACCUGAGGUUUGGAAAGCAUUGUGGAAGCUGAAUGUGCAACCGAAAAUCAGGAUUUUUGGGUGGAGAGUUCUAAAGGAAUUUCUGCCAUCCAAAGGAGAGCUCACUAGACGACAUAUCGACGAUAAGGCGUUCUGUCCAGUGUGUGGACAUGACAAUGAAACUCUAUAUCAUGCGCUAAUUACAUGUGAUCAUGCGAAGCUUUUCUGGAGGAAGGCCACUGACUUCUUUGGUCUCAGGGUCCCCAAGUUGCAUCCUGCAACCUGGUCACAGGACAUAUUGGAUGCUACCUUUCUAAGCAAAGACAGGGCAACGGUGGCAGUGUCAGUCAUGUGGGCUAUAUGGAGCAGUAGAAAUAAAUAUACUCACGAGGAAGUGAAGUACCAGCCAGGGAGAUCAAUGAUUCUGAUCCAGGAACUCAUUCAUGGAUUUUAUAUCCCUACUGCUAGAAGGGAUGAGGGGAGGAAGGAGAUGGCCACAUGGAGACCGCCGGAGGAAGAGUGUGUGAAAAUUAACACGGAUGCAGCCAUUGAUAACAUUGCUGAGAUGGCGGCAACCAGGGUGGUGGCGCGGGACCAUGGGGGUCAGGUUGUUGUCGCUCGGACGACAAAAAUCCCACAGCUGACAGAUGCGUAUGCAGCGGAAUUGUUGACUGUCCGAGAUGCUGCACAUUUAGCAGUAGAGAAAGGAUGGCAGAAUGUGGUAAUAGAAACAGACUGCCAAACGAUAUGCGAAGAGUGGAGGGCUGGAAGCUUUCACUCAGUUGGAGGACAUGUGAUGCGAGAGAUCAGUUACUUGCUUGCAGAUUUGCAGGGCUCUAACAUCAUUUAUACUCGACGUGAAGCUAAUGAGGCCGCUCAUUGGUGUGCCAAAUAUGGUCUAUCUACAGAAUCGAGUGCAUGGGUCUUGGAUGUAAUCCCUGUACCUUUGAUUGCGAUAGUGCAAUCUGAUGUAAAUCGCCACAAAGAUGAAUAA